rnacentral:rRNA from 1 species
AGCGAACGCUGGCGGUAGGCCUAACACAUGCAAGUCGAACGGACCCUUCGGGGUUAGUGGCGGACGGGUGAGUAACACGUGGGAACGUGCCUUUAGGUUCGGAAUAGCUCCUGGAAACGGGUGGUAAUGCCGAAUGUGCCCUUCGGGGGAAAGAUUUAUCGCCUUUAGAGCGGCCCGCGUCUGAUUAGCUAGUUGGUGAGGUAACGGCUCACCAAGGCGACGAUCAGUAGCUGGUCUGAGAGGAUGACCAGCCACACUGGGACUGAGACACGGCCCAGACUCCUACGGGAGGCAGCAGUGGGGAAUCUUGCGCAAUGGGCGAAAGCCUGACGCAGCCAUGCCGCAUGAAUGAUGAAGGUCUUAGGAUUGUAAAAUUCUUUCACCGGGGACGAUAAUGACGGUACCCGGAGAAGAAGCCCCGGCUAACUUCGUGCCAGCCGCCGCGGUAA